rnacentral:rRNA from 1 species
GAUGAACGCUGGCGGCGUGCCUAAUACAUGCCAGUCGAGCGAACAGACGAGGAGCUUGCUCCUCUGACGUUAGCGGCGGACGGGUGAGUAACACGUGGAUAACCUACCUAUAAGACUGGGAUAACUUCGGGAAACCGGAGCUAAUACCGGAUAAUAUAUUGAACCGCAUGGUUCAAUAGUGAAAGACGGUUUUGCUGUCACUUAUAGCUGGAUCCGCGCCGCAUUAGCUAGUUGGUAAGGUAACGGCUUACCAAGGCGACGAUGCGUAGCCGACCUGAGAGGGUGAUCGGCCACACUGGAACUGAGACACGGUCCAGACUCCUACGGGAGGCAGCAGUAGGGAAUCUUCCGCAAUGGGCGAAAGCCUGACGGAGCAACGCCGCGUGAGUGAUGAAGGUCUUCGGAUCGUAAAACUCUGUUAUUAGGGAAGAACAAAUGUGUAAGUAACUAUGCACGUCUUGACGGUACCUAAUCAGAAAGCCACGGCUAACUACGUG